GGAUUAGAUACCCUGGUAGUCCACGCCCUAAACGAUGAGUGCUAAAUGUUGGAGGUUAAAAUCUUCAGUGUUAAAGCUAACGCGUUAAGCACUCCGCCUGGGGAUUACGGUCGCAAGACUAAAACUCAAAGGAAUUGACGGGAACCCGCACAAGCGGCGGAGCAUGUGGUUUAAUUCGAUGUUCCGCGCAAACCUUACCAGCCUUUGCAUGCAAGUUUUGAAUUUGUGAGAGCAAAUUCUUCAGUUUAGCUGGGCUUGCACAGGUGCUGCAUGGCUGUCGUCAGCUCGUGCCG
rnacentral:rRNA from 1 species